GACGAACGCUGGCGGCGUGCCUAAUACAUGCAAGUCGAGCGAAUCACUGGGAGCUUGCUCCCGGUGGUUAGCGGCGGACGGGUGAGUAACACGUGGGCAACCUGCCUGUAAGAAUGGGAUAACACCGGGAAACCGGUGCUAACACCGGAUAAUCCUUUUCUGCACAUGCAGGAAAGCUGAAAGUCGGUUUCGGCUGACACUUACAGAUGGGCCCGCGGCGCAUUAGCUAGUUGGUGAGGUAACGGCUCACCAAGGCGACGAUGCGUAGCCGACCUGAGAGGGUGAUCGGCCACACUGGGACUGAGACACGGCCCAGACUCCUACGGGAGGCAGCAGUAGGGAAUCUUCCACAAUGGACGAAAGUCUGAUGGAGCAACGCCGCGUGAGCGAUGAAGGCCUUCGGGUCGUAAAGCUCUGUUGUUAGGGAAGAACAAGUACCGGAGUAACUGACGGUACCUUGACGGUACCUAACCAGAAAGCCACGGCUAACUACGUGCCAGCAGCCGCAGUAACAC
rnacentral:rRNA from 1 species